AUUUUUACUAAAUAUGAAAAGAACAAGAAAUUAGAACCUUACAGUUUAACACCUUUUCAACUUCUUCCUCUUCUUGAUACAUUCAUUAUCCCCACUACUUGUCAACCUAUAAUCUUGUAAAGGGUGAUACUUCAUCGAUGCUAACUCUUCCUUUGCAUUCUCAAGUCUUCGCUUCUCAUCUCUCUGACAUGAAAUUAUACAAGGCAUUACAAAUAUUGUCUACACGAGUAAUUUGUCAGACAUAAUGAGGUAUCAACACGUACAUAGGCCCUAUUGAACCCUGCUAUUUGUUGCUUGCAAAGCUUAAGCUCCA
rnacentral:misc_RNA from 1 species